UGUAUUAAAAAUAGCCAAUAAUUGUUAGUGAAAAUUUUCAGAUGUCGUCAAAUAUUUUUUCUGAGGUUCUAUGGAAUGGAAUUUCUGGCAAUGAAGAAGAGAGGGGACCAGAAAUUUCAAAUAUUAUAAACGGUUUGUCGGUGCCACUGCCUAGCAAAGUAACAUGUAUGAUACCCAACUGCCAAGCCAACCAAGAAUAGGAGAGUCUGCGUUUACAAUGCCAGCAGAUCCAAAAAGAAAAAAGUUUGGAUGAAUUCUUUAAUUGGAUCAUAUGAAUUCCAGAGUGUGAAAAAAACUAUUACACUGUUAAAUAAAUAUUAUGACGUUAUA